rnacentral:tRNA from 1 species
GCACCUGUAGCUCAACCGGAUAGAGCAUUGGUUUGCGGAACCAAAGGUUGCAGGUUCGAUUCCUGCCAGGUGCG